rnacentral:rRNA from 1 species
AUUGAACGCUAGCGGGCUGCUUUACACAUGCAAGUCGAACGGAGUGGCGGACGGGUGAGUAAUAUAUCGGCACGUGCCCAGUUGCGGGGGAUAACUACUCGAAAGAGUGGCUAAUACCGCAUACUCUUCGAGCGGCCGCUACCGGAUUAGCUAGGUGGUGGGGUAAAGGCUCACCAAGGCAACGAUCCGUAGCUGGUUUGAGCGGACGACCAGCCACACUGGGAAUGAGACACGGCCCAGACUCCUACGGGAGGCAGCAGUGGGGAAUUUUGGACAAUGGGGGAAAACCUGAUCCAGCCAUCCCGGGGGUAUGAUGAAGGCCUUCGGGUUGUAAAGUACUUUUGGCAGAGAAGCGGUAUCUGCAGAAUAAGCACCGGCUAACUACGUGCCAGCAGCCGCGGUAAUAC